UACGGAAGGGGCAAGCGUUGUUCGGAGUCAUUGGGCGUAAAGGGCGUGUAGGUGGUUCUGUAUGUCUACCGUGAAAGCGUACGGCUCAACCGUAUUUAGUCAGUAGAAACUGCAGGACUUGAGGCUGGGAGGGGCUGGUGGAAUUCCCCGUGUAGCGGUGAAAUGCGUAGAGAUGGGGGAGAACACUCGUGGCGAAGGCGGCAUCCUGGACCGGCAUUGACGCUGAGGCGCGAAAGCCAGGGGAGCAAACGGG
rnacentral:rRNA from 1 species